AUAAAGGCAAUGAAGAGAAGAGUACAUUACGGUGGAUGCUACAGAGAGCCUCUGGCAGCUGAGAAGAGGUGCAAAAGCCGCAAUGGAAAAAAGACUUGGAGCCGCGUACCGACGGGAAUUUUCCCUGAGGCUGCGAUGGGAGCGCCCAUUACAGCGCCAGAGUAUCAACAGCAGCCUGAGAUGGCCUGCCGUCCGUACUUGCAGAGGUCCUUAUUGUGAAAUAGGGGUGAAACAGGGUGGUAACACGAAGCGACAGCUCUCGUCCUUGAA
rnacentral:ncRNA from 1 species